UUUUCCCUCUCCUUAAGAUGCCAGGAGACCUACCAGAAACCUAGCUGCCUCUUCCUCCUCCCCAAGCCGCCGCCACUCCCCAUCUUUUCCUGAACGUUAGAGAAAGGUUUCUGCCCGGAGUCUCGUCGAUCACCGCCGUCGCCAUGGCCUCCGGCGAGCCCACGUGAGCUGGGGAAUCGGUUCCUCUCUUCCUCCUCUACGUCCUGGACGUCGUCACGGAUCCGGAGACGCCAAGCCUGCCCGCGAGCAUCCACUUCUGCAUCAUCUACCCCGGCCAACCUUCUUCCUCUUCGCCGGCGAGCUCCUCCGCCGCUUCCUCCUCUUCAACGGCAACCCCAGGACGCCGACGCAGAGCAGUACGAGCAGGAGUACGAGUUCCCCCUGGAGGAUCGUGUCGGUGCUUCUACCUCUGAUCUGACAGGCGAGCCCACCCCUUCACCUAUUUUACUUUUACAUGCUCUUUUGAUCUAUUGCUAUCCUUAUGUUGCGAUUCUGUUGUGUCACGUGUCC